GAUGAACGCUGGCGGCGUGCCUAACACAUGCAAGUCGAACGAGAAGCUAACUUCUGAUUCCUUCGGGAUGAUGAGGUUAGCAGAAAGUGGCGAACGGGUGAGUAACGCGUGGGUAAUCUACCCUGUUAAGUGGGGGAUAACCCUCCGAAAGGAGGGCUAAUACCGCAUAAUAUCUUCUCCUCCCAAGAGAAGAAGAUUAAAGAUGGCCUCUAUACUAUGCUAUCACUUCAGGAUGAGCCCGCGUCCUAUUAGUUAGUUGGUGGGGUAAUGGCCUACCAAGACCACAAUGGGUAGCCGGUCUGAGAGGAUGUACGGCCACACUGGGACUGAGAUACGGCCCAGACUCCUACGGGAGGCAGCAGUGGGGAAUAUUGCGCAAUGGGGGAAACCCUGGCGCAGCGACGCCGCGUGGAUGAUGAAGGCCCUUGGGUUGUAAAAUCCUGUUCUGGGGGAAGAAAGCUUAAAGGUCCAAUAAACCCUUAAGCCUGACGGUACCCCAAGAGAAAGCUCCGGCUAAUUAUGUGCCAGCAGCCGCGGUAAUACAUAAGGAGCAAGCGUUAUCCGGAAUUAUUGGGCGUAAAGAGCUCGUAGGCGGUCUUAAAAGUCAGGUGUGAAAUUAUCAGGC
rnacentral:rRNA from 1 species